rnacentral:rRNA from 1 species
GACGAACGCUGGCGGCGUGCCUAACACAUGCAAGUCGAACGGAGAUUUACGUCAACACAAAGCUCUUCACGUAAGAGUAAUGUGGAGGGUUUUGAGUUGAUGUAAAUCUUAGUGGCGAACGGGUGAGUAACGCGUGAGCAACCUACCAAGGAGAGGGGGAUAACACAGAGAAAUCUGUGCUAAUACCGCAUAAAGUCACGAUAUCGCAUGGUAUGGUGAUGAAAGGGCUUUUGCCUGCUUCUUGAUGGGCUCGCGUCUGAUUAGCUAGUUGGUAGGGUAACGGCCUACCAAGGCGAUGAUCAGUAGCCGGGCUGAGAGGUUGACCGGCCACAUUGGGACUGAGACACGGCCCAGACUCCUACGGGAGGCAGCAGUGGGGAAUAUUGCGCAAUGGGGGGAACCCUGACGCAGCGACGCCGCGUGAAGGAAGAAGGUCUUCGGAUUGUAAACUUUUGUCUUUGGUGACGAUAAUGACGGUAGCCAAGGAGGAAGCCACGG